GACGUAGGGUGCGAGCGUUGUCCGGAUUUAUUGGGCGUAAAGAGCUCGUAGGCGGCUCGUCGCGUCGACCGUGAAAACCCGCGGCUUAACUGCGGGCUUGCGGUUGAUACGGGCGGGCUAGAGUUCGGUAGGGGAGACUGGAAUUCCUGGUGUAGCGGUGAAAUGCGCAGAUAUCGAGAGGAACACCUGCGGCGAAGGCGGGUUGCUGGGCUGACACUGACGCUGAGGCGCGAAAGCUAGGGGAGCGAACGGG
rnacentral:rRNA from 1 species